rnacentral:rRNA from 1 species
CGCGUGGGAAUCCACCCCAAAGUGAGGGAUAACGCACCGAAAGGUGUGCUAAUACCGCAUAUGGUCUUCGGAUUAAAGUUUUAACGCUUUGGGAGGAGCCCGCGUCGGAUUAGAUAGUUGGUGAGGUAAUGGCUCACCAAGUCGACGAUCCGUAGCUGGUCUGAGAGGAUGAUCAGCCAGACUGGAACUGAGAUACGGUCCAGACUCCUACGGGAGGCAGCAGUGAGGAAUAUUCCACAAUGGGCGAAAGCCUGAUGGAGCAAUGCCGCGUGCAGGAUGAAGGCCUUCGGGUUGUAAACUGCUUUUAUAUGAGAAGACUAUGACGGUAACAUAUGAAUAAGGACCGGCUAACUACGUG